rnacentral:rRNA from 1 species
GCUGGCGGCAGGCCUAACACAUGCAAGUCGAGCGGUAGAGAGAAGCUUGCUUCUCUUGAGAGCGGCGGACGGGUGAGUAAAGCCUAGGAAUCUGCCUGGUAGUGGGGGAUAACGUUCGGAAACGGACGCUAAUACCGCAUACGUCCUACGGGAGAAAGCAGGGGACCUUCGGGCCUUGCGCUAUCAGAUGAGCCUAGGUCGGAUUAGCUAGUUGGUGAGGUAAUGGCUCACCAAGGCGACGAUCCGUAACUGGUCUGAGAGGAUGAUCAGUCACACUGGAACUGAGACACGGUCCAGACUCCUACGGGAGGCAGCAGUGGGGAAUAUUGGACAAUGGGCGAAAGCCUGAUCCAGCCAUGCCGCGUGUGUGAAGAAGGUCUUCGGAUUGUAAAGCACUUUAAGUUGGGAGGAAGGGCAUUAACCUAAUACGUUAGUGUUUUGACGUUACCGACAGAAUAAGCACCGGCUAACUCUGUGCCAGCAGCCGCGGUAAUACAGAGGGUGCAAGCGUUAAUCGGAAUUACUGGGCGUAAAGCGCGCGUAGGUGGUUUGUUAAGUUGGAUGUGAAAUCCCCGGGCUCAACCUGGGAACUGCAUUCAAAACUGACUGACUAGAGUGUGGUAGAGGGUGGUGGAAUUUCCUGUGUAGCGGUGAAAUGCGUAGAUAUAGGAAGGAACACCAGUGGCGAAGGCGACCACCUGGACCAACACUGACACUGAGGUGCGAAAGCGUGGGGGAGCAAACAGGAUUAGAUACCCUGGUAGUCCACGCCGUAACGAUGUCAACUAGCCGUUGGGAGCCUUGAGCUCUUA